CCUCUCUUGAGGAUCUCAGACUACUUCGGUACAUGUCUGUCAGCUCAGAGAUGGUGUUUAUUCAUUUGAAGGCAAUCUCUGCAAACAUAUGUGUUCAGAAUCACCAGGGUAGUGUUCUCCAGUGAUGUGGUCAGAAAGGCUCUGUUCGAAUGCCGGGCCUACCACGGGAGCAUGAGGGACGCCUCAAAUUCCAUUUGGAGGCAUCUUUGAGCUCGCCGAGUAGACCCCAUGAGCAAAGCUCACCCUCCCAAGUUGAAAAAAUUUAUGGACAAGAAAUUAUCAUUGAAAUUAAAUGGUGGCAGACAUGUCCAAGGAAUAUUGCGGGGGUUCCAUCCGUUUAUGAAUCUUGUGAUAGAUGAAUGUGUGGAGAUGGCAACUAGUGGGCCACAGAACAAUACGAGGAAAGAGUAUCAUCAUGUUAGAAGCCUUGGAACAAGUAUAA